rnacentral:rRNA from 1 species
UACUCGAGUGGCGAACGGGUGAGUAACACGUGGGUGAUCUGCCCUGCACUUCGGGAUAAGCUUGGGAAACUGGGUCUAAUACCGGAUAGGAACCAUCUUUAGUGUGGUGGUUGGAAAGUUUUUUCGGUGUAGGAUGAGCUCGCGGCCUAUCAGCUUGUUGGUGGGGUAAUGGCCACCAAGGCGGCGACGGGUAGCCGGCCUGAGAGGGUGUACGGCCACAUUGGGACUGAGAUACGGCCCAG